CUUUUGUAAGCAACUAUAAAUAUGAAGUUUUUUUUAAUCUUCAAAAAGAUUCAUGGAAAGGACUCUGACACACACAGGUUUCUGAUGACUUCAAGAUCAUACCACUGGGCCGGAAAUGUCUCUUAUUAAUUACUAGAGACCGAACUUUGAUGAGAACUCACCUACAAUAUCUCCUGAAAUGAGACACAACUGCUUAAUUGAAUUGACCUUUUUUCAGCAUUAAUGAUUUGAUACAGGGCAAUGUACUUAAAUGUGCUCAUUUGUACUUGUUCCAAUCUAUGUUUUUUUCUUCCUUUGCCAGUCUCUUAUCUCACAAUCUCUCUCUAAUCAAAAUAUCUUCUUCAAAGUUACCAACAUGGAGAGUUCUAAGCCACCAUUUGUGUUGCGGUUUCUCCCACAUUGUGUGCUGCACAUAUUACUAAACUUGUUUUUCUCUUA